UACGUAGGGAGCAAGCGUUGUCCGGAAUUAUUGGGCGUAAAGCGCGCGCAGGUGGUUUCUUAAGUCUGAUGUGAAAGCCCACGGCUCAACCGUGGAGGGUCAUUGGAAACUGGGGAACUUGAGUGCAGAAGAGGAAAGUGGAAUUCCAAGUGUAGCGGUGAAAUGCGUAGAGAUUUGGAGGAACACCAGUGGCGAAGGCGACUUUCUGGUCUGUAACUGACACUGAGGCGCGAAAGCGUGGGGAGCGAACAGG
rnacentral:rRNA from 1 species